AUUGAACGCUGGCGGCAGGCCUGACACAUGCAAGUCGAACGAGUGGCGGACGGGUGAGUAAUGUCUGGGAAACUGCCUGAUGGAGGGGGAUAACUACUGGAAACGGUAGCUAAUACCGCAUACCAUCAGAUGUGCCCAGAUGGGAUUAGCUAGUAGGUGGGGUAAUGGCUCACCUAGGCGACGAUCCCUAGCUGGUCUGAGAGGAUGACCAGCCAAUCUGGAACGGAGACACGGUCCAGACUCCUACGGGAGGCAUGGGUGGGGAAUAUUGCACAAUGGGCGCAAGCCUGAGGCAGCCAUGCCGCGUGUAUGAAGAAGGCCUUCGGGUUGUAAAGUACUUUCAGCGAGGAGGCGUUACUCGCAGAAGAAGCACCGGCUAACUCCGUGCCAGCAGCCGCGGUAAUUC
rnacentral:rRNA from 1 species